rnacentral:rRNA from 1 species
AUUGAACGCUGGCGGCAGGCCUAACACAUGCAAGUCGAGCGGAUGACGGGAGCUUGCUCCUUGAUUCAGCGGCGGACGGGUGAGUAAUGCCUAGGAAUCUGCCUAGUAGUGGGGGACAACGUUUCGAAAGGAACGCUCAUACUGCAUACGUCCUUCGGGAGAAAGCAGGGGACCUUCGGGACUUGCGCUAUCAGAUGAGCCUAGGUCGGAUGAGCUAGUUGGUGGGGUAAUGGCUCACCAAGGCGACGAUCCGUAACUGGUCUGAGAGGAUGAUCAGUCACACUGGAACUGAGACACGGUCCAGACUCCUACGGGAGGCAGCAGUGGGGAAUAUUGGACAAUGGGCGAAAGCCUGAUCCAGCCAUGCCGCGUGUGUGAAGAAGGUCUUCGGAUUGUAAAGCACUUUAAGUUGGGAGGAAGGGCAGUAAGCUAAUACCUUGCUGUUUUGACGUUACCGACAGAAUAAGCACCGGCUAACUCUGUGCCAGCCGCCGCUGUAA